AUUGAACGCUGGCGGCAUGCUUUACACAUGCAAGUCGAACGGUAACAGGCCGCAAGGUGCUGACGAGUGGCGAACGGGUGAGUAAUGCAUCGGAACGUGCCCAGUCGUGGGGGAUGACGCAGCGAAAGCUGUGCUAAUACCGCAUACGAUCUAUGGAUGAAAGCGGGGGACCGUAAGGCCUCGCGCGAUUGGAGCGGCCGAUGUCAGAUUAGGUCGUUGGUGGGGUAAAGGCUCACCAAGCCAACGAUCUGUAGCUGGUCUGAGAGGACGACCAGCCACACUGGGACUGAGACACGGCCCAGACUCCUACGGGAGGCAGCAGUGGGGAAUUUUGGACAAUGGGCGCAAGCCUGAUCCAGCAAUGCCGCGUGCAGGAAGAAGGCCUUCGGGUUGUAAACUGCUUUUGUACGGAACGAAAAGGUUUGGGUUAAUACCCUGGGCCGAUGACGGUACCGUAAGAAUAAGCACCGGCUAACUACGUGCCAGCCGCCGCGGUAA
rnacentral:rRNA from 1 species